UUGAGGCUUCAGGAGGGGAGGGUAGAGUCUGCAGCAGGGAGCCCCAGGAGUCACCAGCCCAAAGUCACCCAGGGACAACUGGUGAAGGAAACAGGCUCAGAAGUCCAAGAGCUUGACCAAAGUAACUCAGCUGGUAUGUAGCAGAACCAGCUCUCAUACAAAGAUGACCUGAGGACAGAGACAGUAGAGGACAGUGCAGGGUAGUGCAAGAAGCUGUGGCUCUGGGGUCUGGUCAAGAUGCCCCUUUCUUCUGUUAGGAAGCUUUCCCACUCCUCUGCCUGCUUUCGCAUCUCUUCCAAAAUACAAGUGAUUGCAUGUGACUCCCUUGUUAGAGCAGGCUCUCAAUAAAUAGGCUUUGCUUGAUUUCA
rnacentral:lncRNA from 10 species